CGAAGAGACAAGACCCAAGAUACAGAAGACAAAAAAUCCCUGGAGGCAGCCAAACAUCUGGACCAGAUGAUGAGUGCACAGGUGAGGGUGCUGGGAUGGCUUCUCCAGCAGUGGGGAUGGAAGAUGAUUUGGAGCCCUUGGGAAUUUCUGCAGGUGUGUCUGCAGGGAGGACUUUUCAAGCCCCAGGGCUGGAUGCUGCACACAAUCCCAGCUCCCAUGGCAGGGGUGAGUAGUGUGUCCCUGCUGACACCGCAGGCUGAGUCCUAUUUUUGUGGGAUCCAUCCACAUGAACUGGAAGUACUUUUAAGGUCCUCCAACAGUCAGUACCAAA